UAAUUAUCAUCAUCACUCUCAACAACAACAACAUCAUCUUUACUUUUGAUUAUCUGGUGACCACCAAAAUUACCAACAGCUAAAGCUUCAUACAGUUAUCCACAUUGGUUUGUGCAAAUUUCCUAUCCACUGGUUUGGCUUUAUUCUUCCUGAUCUCCGUGCUUUCUGUUAGUGCUUGUUGAAGCAUGUUGUUGUUGACUAACCGUUGGUAAACAGCUCAAAAACAAACCAAACGAUCUCUGCAAUUCUACAUUUUCUCCUUCACUCUGUCUUUUUAUCUUUUUUGCCUCUCUUUUACAAUUUACUUUGUCACUUUGAUAAAACCACAUUGUCUCUUGUAUACUGUUGUCUACCAAAUGAUUGUUCAACAUAUUCAUUUCAAUCACUUUCGUCAGCUAAUCGUCAGUUGAAAAAUAUAAACAUCAUCUUGUUUCAUUAAUGUUUAUAAGGAUUGUUAACUUGAUUCGGGCUUCAUUCUGUUACCCAUAAUCUUGUGAAUUUGCCAAACCUUAACAUUUCUUCAACCAUUGUGAUCCAGAAGGUGUUUCCAUUAUAGACAACCUAAAAUUGUUGUUUACUCGUCUAUCGGUGUAUUUGGUCCUCUUUCGGAUGUCAGAUCGGAUCAAAAAGCUAGCAAACGCUUAAGGAGUUUCACUGUUAACACCAACACCAAGAGUAACAGUUAUCAUUUAGUCAUCACCAACAGAAAGGCAACACCAUAAAUUAUAAUCUAUUUUCCUCGCCAGUCUUUACUUUCUUCUGACAGUCUAUCUGCAAUCAUCACCAACCACUCAAAUACUCAAACCUCACCAAGCUGUUUUUUGUAAAGAUGAUCUGAAACUGAAAUAUCAUUAACGCUAUUAUCAUUCACAUUUGAAGGCGGUUUGAAUCUUUCAUAGCAAUCACAAUCAACAUCUCCACUCUCAGCAUCAUCAUUAUCACCAACACUCGUUUACUUUCCUUAUAUUUGUUUCUCACUCUCACUCACUCACUUUGUACUAAUAUUUCAUCGGAAAUCAAACUGUGUUUCUCCUCGUAAUUGUAUUGUUUAAAUCAAUACUGUCCAAGUAACCUAAAGAAAGAUUUAAUUGCCAAAUCCACCAUUAAAACUCGCACCAAGUCAAUUGAUCAUUAAACUUCAAGCAUCAAGUACUACCUUGCCCUUGACUACUGACUACCACUUCUCUACCUCAAGAUACACAACAAGUACACUUCCACCGAUUUCCCUCUCAUUGUUACUGGGAUCUCUUCUUUGUCCAAUGAUGAUAAAAAUGUUCAACUCAUUCAUACUCCAUUUAUAUACAUCAUUUAGGCCUCAGUCUGUGUAGGUAAGCACCAUUAUUGUUUCUCAUUUACAUGAUUAGAAACCAAAAUAUUAGUACAACAGAAACAGCCAUGAUUUCCAUUGCUUGUACCUUUUUAUCGAUCCAUCAAUGUUUUGAUCAUACUGAAUAACAAGCUUCAUCACUUAUGAUGUUGUUGAUGAUUAUGAUGAUGAUUUUUAGUAGGUCACUGAGAAAAAAGAAGAAAAAAUAGAUUGAAAGUAACCAUGAGAAAUAAUUGAAUUAAUCAUUUUAAAUACCGAUGUUUAGUCGUAAACAUCUCUAUUACUUUUAAUAAUCACUCAAAUGCAUCUGAGCAUCUUGAAUAUCACUUCUUGUCCUAAACAAUUGAAGUAAUGGAGAGAA